GAUGAAGAACGUAGCGAAAUGCGAUAAGUAAUGUGAAUUGCAGAAUUCAGUGAAUCAUCGAAUCUUUGAACGCACAUUGCGCCCGCCAGUAUUCUGGCGGGCAUGCCUGUUCGAGCGUCAUUUCAACCAUCAAGCACCAGGCUUGUGUUGGGGACCUGCGACUGCCGCAGGCCCUGAAAACCAGUGGCGGGCUCGCUGUCACACCGGGCGUAGUAGAUUUUAUCUCGCUCAGGGCGUGCUGCGGGUUCCGGCCGUUAAAAAGCCUUUUUUACCCAAGGUUGACCUCGGAUCAGGUAGGAAGACCCGCUGAACUUAAGCAUAUCAAUAAGCGGAGGA
rnacentral:misc_RNA from 1 species